rnacentral:lncRNA from 1 species
UAAUUUGGGGUGAUAUCUAGUACAGAACUAUGGCUAAUGAGGAAGAGACCCUUGUCAUCUUUCUGGUUUUGGGGGUGACCCUGCCCCAAAGCAUUAUUAAGGGGCUGGAGAUUAUUUAGCACAACUGAUGGUCCUCCUAGCCUCCUAGGUCUUCAUCAGUGGGAAUGAAGUCUCCUUCACCUCCACCUCCAUCUCCCCAUACUUUCUCCAGCUCAGAAGCCUCAUCAGGACACAAAAGAGACCCUGAGUGUUCAGAGACCAAUCCAGAGGAACACAAGCUAAAAGAAGCUCAUCACCAGAAGAUUGGUCAACAGGGGAUAAUUUUCAUAAACACAUGAAGACUUUCUGCUAAAAUUGUUGGGAUAUUCAUUGGAAGAGAGGAAGAAAAUCCAAAGGAAAAGGAGGAGGAGGAAAAGGAAGGGACCCUGAAUGGAAUUUUUUUUUCCUCCAAACAUAUGUAUCUUUACUUUCUUGAUAUUCUAAAACCAAAUUUCAACACUGACAAAAUUUGAAAUAUUUUACUAACCACAGUUAUUCAGGAAGUUCAAGGCUUUAAUUCUAGCAAGACUAGAUUCUUAUGAAAAAAUAUAUGGCUUUACAAAAGUACAAUGUGGCUAAAAACUGGUGAAAACAAAUAAAAGCAAUCAUAAAGCUAUAUACUUAAUGUUU